ACAUGCUUACAACAUAUCAUUAAUGCAUCAGAUUCCAUUAGAACUUAGUAGUUAAGCAUGCUUGGGCUAGAGUAGUACUGGGAUGGGUGAUCGCCUGAGAAGUCCUAGUGUUUUACAUGCC
rfam:Picea glauca, whole genome shotgun sequence.